rnacentral:rRNA from 1 species
AGUGAACGCUGGCGGUAGGCCUAACACAUGCAAGUCGAACGGCAGCACAGUAAGAGCUUGCUCUUACGGGUGGCGAGUGGCGGACGGGUGAGGAAUACAUCGGAAUCUACUUUUUCGUGGGGGAUAACGUAGGGAAACUUACACUAAUACCGCAUACGACCUACGGGUGAAAGCAGGGGAUCUUCGGACCUUGCGCGAUUGAAUGAGCCGAUGUCGGAUUAGCUAGUUGGCGGGGUAAAGGCCCACCAAGGCGACGAUCCGUAGCUGGUCUGAGAGGAUGAGCAGCCACACUGGAACUGAGACACGGUCCAGACUCCUACGGGAGGCAGCAGUGGGGAAUAUUGGACAAUGGGCGCAAGCCUGAUCCAGCCAUACCGCGUGGGUGAAGAAGGCCUUCGGGUUGUAAAGCCCUUUUGUUGGGAAAGAAAAGCAGCAGGUUAAUACCCCGCUGUUCUGACGGUACCCAAAGAAUAAGCACCGGCUAACUUCGUG